rnacentral:lncRNA from 1 species
GAAGAAGAAAAAAAACUUGUUAAAAAGAUAAAGGACCAUUUACCUCUUGCUGUGGUGGGUAGUAAUACUAUCAUUGAAGUUAAUGGCAAAAGGGUCAUAGGAAGGCAGUAUCCUUGGAGUGUUGCUGAAGUUGAAAAUGGUGAACAUUGUGAUUUUACAGUUUUAAGAAAUAUGUUGAUAAGAACACACGCAGGACUUGAAAGAUGUUACUAAUAAUGUCCACUACGAGAACUAUGGAAUCAGAAAACUGGCAGCUGUGACUUAUCAUGGAGUUGAUAACAAGAAGAAUAAAGGGCAGCUCACUAAGAGCCCUCUGGCACAAAUGGAAGAAGAAAGAAGGGAGCAAGUAGCUAAAAUUAAGAAGAUGGAGAUGGAGAUGGAGCAGGUGUUUGAGAUGAAGGUCAAAGAAAAAGUUCAAAAACUGAAGGACUCUGAAGCUGAGGCCUUCAGGAAGUGUCGAGUCUGGGACGCCCAGCGCGGGCCCGAGCAGGGGGAAGGGAAGCGCAGCUCGGUCCGCGUGGGUGGAGGGGACGUGAAGCCGCCCUGAGAUGAUGGUUGAGGAAGGGCUCUACGGCUCCCAAGCUAGGCCAAAUGCCUCCGGCGGCCGCGCCCGGGCGCCCCUUCCCCUGUGGGGCAACCCUAGCUUGGGACGCGUGAACCACCUCCGUAGCUGCCCCACCAGCACCCCCAGCCGUGCGCCCCUGCACCAUGCAGCUGCCCUGCGCAUGGAGCCGCGAGGGACAGCAGGCCCAGCCCUCAGCACCACCUGCCUGCCAGGAGGUUCGGGAAACUGGCGCCGCAGCGGAGAGGGCAUCUGUCCAACGCCUCCCCCGGGGCUCAGCUGCGGGCCCCCAGGCAUAGGCACCCAUGACCCUUCUGUGUUGUUUGUCUUUGUAUAGUCUGCAGAUGUGGAUCCUGACUCCUGAGAGAAGUAGCUCACCGUGACGAAGCUGCGUUUGCUUUUAUCGAUUUGCAAAUCAAAGAAGGGGGACAUAUUGGGAGAAGGCCCCCCAAAAUCUGGCCAUAAACUGGCCACAAAACUGGCCAUAAAAUCUCUGCAGCACUGUGACAUGCUCAUGAUGGCCAUAACGCCCACGCUGGAAGGUUUUGGGUUUACCGGAAUGAAGGCAAGGAACACCUGGCCUGCCCAGGGCAGAAAACCACUUAAAGGCAUUCUUAAACCACAAACAGUAGCAUGAGCGAUCUGUGCCUUAAGGGCAUGUUCCUGCUGCAGAUAACUAGCCAGACCCACCCCUUUAUUUCAGGCCAUCCCUUCAUUU